UUGGAGGUAGUGACAAUAAAUCACAAUGCGGGACUGUUAGUCUUGCAAUUGGAUUGAGAACAACGUACAACUCUUAUCGAUAAGCCAUUGGAGGGCAAGUCUGGUGCCAGCAGCCGCGGUAAUUCCAGCUCCAAUAGCGUAUAUUAACGUUGUUGCAGUUAAAAAGCUCGUAGUUGAAGUGAGGGAGUGUGUGGGUAUGAGAGCUAGUCUCAAGUACUUACAACCUCCCCCCUCCAAUCGGUGUAGUGGGGUAUUCAGUUAUUCUACUACUCCUUUGGUCGUUUACUGUGAGAAAAUUAGAGUGUUCAAAGCGGGCGUUUGUUUGAAUAGAUUAGCAUGGAAUAAUGAUUGAAGGCUUUCGUGUUCGAUUUGAUUGGUUUGUUCAUGGAAGCAAGGUUAAAAGGAACAGUUGGGGGUAUUCAUAUUCACUAGUUAGAGGUGAAAUUCUCGGAUUUAUGGAAGAUGAACAAGUGCGAAAGCAA
rnacentral:rRNA from 1 species